rnacentral:sRNA from 1 species
CUCUUUCCCCCGCCUCCUCUCCUAGCCUCCCCAUCUCUCCUCUACCCCAAUCUUCUGCCCUCUCCUCUGCUUCCCCGGCCUCCCCCUUCUGACUCUCCUCUCCCCUCUUUGUAUCCCCCAUCUUGCCUCCCUGCUUCCCACAUCCGACCACCCGACCUCUCUCCUCAGACGUGGACGAAUGUCGCGAGCGAGGCCCAGCCCUGUGCGGGUCGCAGCGCUGUGAGAACUCUCCCGGCUCCUACCGCUGUGUCCGGGACUGCGAUCCUGGGUACCACGCGGGCCCCGAGGGCACCUGUGACGAUGUGAACGAGUGUGAAACACUACAGGGUGUAUGUGGAGCUGCCCUGUGUGAAAAUGUCGAAGGCUCCUUCCUCUGUGUCUGCCCCAACAGCCCGGAGGAGUUUGACCCCAUGACUGGACGCUGUGUUCCCCCACGAACUUCUGCUGGCACGUUCCCAGGCUCGCAGCCCCAGGCACCUGCUAGCCCCGUUCUGCCCGCCAGGCCACCU